rnacentral:rRNA from 1 species
UACAGAGGUCCCGAGCGUUGUUCGGAUUCACUGGGCGUAAAGGGUGCGUAGGUGGUGAGGUGUGUCGGAUGUGAAAUCUCGGAGCUCAACUCCGAAAAUGCAUUGGAAACUACCUUGCUUGAGGGUUGGAGGGGGGACUGGAAUACUUGGUGUAGCAGUGAAAUGCGUAGAUAUCAAGUGGAACACCAGUGGCGAAGGCGAGUCCCUGGACAACUCCUGACACUGAGGCACGAAAGCUAGGGGAGCAAACAGG